rnacentral:rRNA from 1 species
AUUGAACGCUGGCGGCAUGCCUUACACAUGCAAGUCGAACGGCAGCACGGGAGCAAUCCUGGUGGCGAGUGGCGAACGGGUGAGUAAUAUAUCGGAACGUGCCCAGUAGUGGGGGAUAGCCCGGCGAAAGCCGGAUUAAUACCGCAUACGACCUGAGGGUGAAAGCGGGGGAUCGCAAGACCUCGCGCUAUUGGAGCGGCCGAUAUCAGAUUAGCUAGUUGGUGGGGUAAAGGCCUACCAAGGCUACGAUCUGUAGUUGGUCUGAGAGGACGACCAGCCACACUGGGACUGAGACACGGCCCAGACUCCUACGGGAGGCAGCAGUGGGGAAUUUUGGACAAUGGGCGCAAGCCUGAUCCAGCAAUGCCGCGUGCAGGA